AGGAUAAACGCUGGCGGCGUGCCUAACACAUGCAAGUCGAACGUCCUACGCAAGUAGGGAGUGGCGGACGGGUGAGUAACACGUGGGCAAUCUACCUUUCGGUGAGGAAUACCGGCGAGAAAUCGCCGACAAUACCGCAUACGCUUCGCAAGAAGCAAAGUCGCAAGACGCCGGAGGAGGAGCCUGCGCCCGAUUAGCUGGUUGGUGAGGUAAAAGCUCACCAAGGCGUCGAUCGGUAGCUGGUCUGAGAGGAUGAUCAGCCACACUGGGAUUGAGAACGGCCCAGACUCCUACGGGGGGCAGCAGUGAGGAAUUUUCGUCAAUGGGGGAAACCCUGAACGAGCAACGCCGCGUGCAGGAUGACGCUUCUCGGAGUGUAAACUGCUUUUCUCGGGGAAGAGAACGGACGGUACCCGAGGAAUCAGCCCCGGCUAACUACGUGCCAGCAGCCGC
rnacentral:rRNA from 1 species